UACGGAGGGUGCAAGCGUUAUCCGGAUUCACUGGGUUUAAAGGGUGCGUAGGUGGGCAGUUAAGUCAGUGGUGAAAUCUCCGGGCUCAACCCGGAAACUGCCAUUGAUACUAUCUGUCUUGAAUAUCGUGGAGGUAAGCGGAAUAUGUCAUGUAGCGGUGAAAUGCUUAGAUAUGACAUAGAACACCCAUUGCGAAGGCAGCUAACUACGCGAUAAUUGACGCUGAUGCACGAAAGCGUGGGGAUCAAACAGG
rnacentral:rRNA from 1 species